GAUGAACGCUGGCGGCGUGCUUAACACAUGCAAGUCGAACGGAAAGGCCCUGCUUUUGUGGGGUGCUCGAGUGGCGAACGGGUGAGUAACACGUGAGUAACCUGCCCUUGACUUUGGGAUAACUUCAGGAAACUGGGGCUAAUACCGGAUAGGAGCUCCUGCUGCAUGGUGGGGGGUGGAAAGUUUCGGCGGUUGGGGAUGGACUCGCGGCUUAUCAGCUUGUUGGUGGGGUAGUGGCUUACCAAGGCUUUGACGGGUAGCCGGCCUGAGAGGGUGACCGGCCACAUUGGGACUGAGAUACGGCCCAGACUCCUACGGGAGGCAGCAGUGGGGAAUAUUGCACAAUGGGCGGAAGCCUGAUGCAGCAACGCCGCGUGCGGGAUGACGGCCUUCGGGUUGUAAACCGCUUUCGCCUGUGACGAAGCGUGAGUGACGGUAAUGGGUAAAGAAGCACCGGCUAACUACGUG
rnacentral:rRNA from 1 species